ACUGUUUAGUUAUCGUUGCGAUUUCAAUGAAACAGCAUGUUUUGAUAAAUUCCAUGAGAAUAAUAUAAUAUGAAAAUCUGGAUUUUAUAUUAUUUAGUGUUUAAGUGAAAAUGUUGGCAUCUUAUCAAAUAUUUAUGACUUUUGGUGUAUCAGCGGUCCUGUCAUUCUUUGUAUCCAUAUCAUUGCUGCUGAUGUUUGCGUCAAGUAGAGGACUGCUGCAGCAGUCUCAGAAGCUGUUCCAGCCACCCUUGCUAGAAGUACAGAAGAAGCCAUUAUCAUCAGCUCCAGAACUAACUCCAUUAAAUAAUUAGUCAUUA